GACGUAGGGCGCGAGCGUUGUCCGGAUUUAUUGGGCGUAAAGAGCUCGUAGGCGGCUUGUUGCGUCGACUGUGAAAACCCGCGGCUUAACUGCGGGCUUGCAGUUGAUACGGGCAGGCUAGAGUUCGGUAGGGGAGACUGGAAUUCCUGGUGUAGCGGUGAAAUGCGCAGAUAUCAGGAGGAACACCUGAGGUGAAGACGGGUUGCUGGGCCGACACUGACGCUGAUAGCGCGAAAGCCAGGGGAGCAAACGGG
rnacentral:rRNA from 1 species